GCCAGGGAAUUCCCACUAAUGACUUUCAAGGAAGUCUUCUCUGAUGCUCCAGGCCAGAUUAGGUCCCCCAGGUUUCCUGGGCUGCCUAUGCUAAAUCCCCAAUGCCUGAGCCAACCCAAGUGUGUAUGUGACCCUUGCAACCUGAUGGAGCCUUUGAAGACCACCUCUUUGGGCUGCAGUAGACUGGACCUCGUACAAAGUGGAAAAAUAGAGGGAAUGAGGAUUCCAACCAAUGAAACUAUCUUAAAGUGUAGGGGCAGAAAGGACACUUGUGCAGCUUGACGGGCACCACCAGCACACCACCUGGGGAACCAAAUGGUACUGUAAGCAGCAACAACACUGGCCGCCCUGCGAUGGACGGGAUCCAGGGCAGGGGAGUUUGACCAGCCCAGGUCGAGAAGAAGGACCCCAACUCCACCGGCAGCUAACAGCAAAACAUUGUCUGCAAAUUGCAACUCUGGUUCCCAGUCAGCCAGAGGAGAAGGACAAUAAUGAUUGAGACCCUGCUAUAGACUGAAUUUCAUCCCCCUCAAAUUCAUACAUUGAAGCCAUAACCUCCAAUGUGACUAUAUGUGAAGACAGGGCCUUUAAGGAGGUAAUUAAGGUUAAAUGAGGUUGUAAGGGUAGAGCUCGAAUCUGGUAGGACUGGUGUCCUUAUAAGAAGAGGAAACUAUGCCAGAGAUGGCUUUCUCUCCCUACUCUUGCACAGAGGAAAGGUCAUGUGAGGACCAGCAAGAAGGCAGUCGUCUGCAAGCCAGAAAAAGAGCUCUCACCAGACACCAACCCUGCUGGCAACUUGAUCUUGGACUCUGCACCUCCAAAACU